rnacentral:rRNA from 1 species
GUGGGGAAUAUUGGACAAUGGGCGAAAGCCUGAUCCAGCCAUGCCGCGUGUGUGAAGAAGGUCUUCGGAUUGUAAAGCACUUUAAGUUGGGAGGAAGGGUAGUAACCUAAUACGUUGCUACUUUGACGUUACCGACAGAAUAAGCACCGGCUAACUUCGUGCCAGCAGCCGCGGUAAUACGAAGGGUGCAAGCGUUAAUCGGAAUUACUGGGCGUAAAGCGCGCGUAGGUGGUUCAGUAAGUUGGAAGUGAAAUCCCCGGGCUCAACCUGGGAACUGCUUUCAAAACUGCUGAGCUAGAGUACGGUAGAGGGUGGUGGAAUUUCCUGUGUAGCGGUGAAAUGCGUAGAUAUAGGAAGGAACACCAGUGGCGAAGGCGACCACCUGGACUGAUACUGACACUGAGGUGCGAAAGCGUGGGGAGCAAAUGGGAUUAGAUACCCCAGUAGUCC